ACACUUUUGAACACCAUGAGGAAAGAGUGAGUUAUUGGAAUAAGUCUUAGCACUGUGAGAACAGAGAUGCUUAUAUUUGGACCAGGGACGACUCUCACAGUUCUACCAAACGUUUUAAAAACAUCUGACCCUCAAGUCAUUGUGAUGAAAUCAAAGAAACUGGAAGAAGAUGGCAGCUCUGGGAAAGCAGCUUGUUUGGCAAGGAACUCCACUACAAAGAACAUCAGAUUGGAGAUGCCCUCUCAGGAGGUGGUCUAUGAACAGAGCCCAUCCAUUUUGACGUCACAGGGGUUGUACAAUGCAAUUAAAGUGGUCAGGGUGACAAAAGACACAGAGGUGACCUGCACGGCCAAAUUCGACGACCUCACGAUAACAGCAGAGCCAGAACAGGAGGCUGAAGAACCAAUAACAGAGGCCAGUGAGAGGGUUUGCAACAGCACAAAUAUCUCAGCACAAGAUGCUGGAGGGCAGAGAGUGAACAUGCUGUCCAUGGCUGUGCUGGGUUUGAGAGUCCUGCUGGCAAAGAGCAUCGCCUUCAAUGCCCUCAUGAGCAUCAAGUUGUUUCUUUUCUGAGAUAUAGGGUAUGAACCCAAAGAAGAACAGGAAAGAACAUGAACCAGCAGCACAAGGGGGCUGAACAAGCAGGGCCAGAGCUGCUGACAGAGACCAGCCAGGACACAAGGCAGCACCUUCCCCUGAAGACAUGCAACACUCUGCACUCCUGCCUGGCCAGCUGAUUUACACUCAAGAGUUUUAAGUGCUUUUGCUGUUUCGUCUCCUCUGAACACUGAGGAGAGUGGAUUUAUCCUCAUUCUCCUGCUAAGCAGAUCCCUCCACGCUUCUGCCAUUUGCACACCAGUGUCCAACCUGCUUCAGUAGCUUUGAAAACUCCAGUGCUCACUGCAGAUAGAUGGCCUUUGAAAAGCACCUUUCCCAGGCAUGUUGUGUUACUGCCUGUGGAACUGGAGCAGCACUGCUGAGGGAAUUCCAGCCCAGGAACUGCCAUUUGUAGGUUUGGGUUUCAGAUACUUUCAAUACCAAUAAUGUGUAUUGCAGAUAAGAAGAGCUGUGUAGAAUCUGAAGUGAUUUCAUUCAACUAGAUAAUGUUCAUUUCUUGAUUAAGCCUGUAUUUCUUCUGCUAAAUUUAUUACAUGUGCAAUUUAGGUUCCUGUAACAGUGACAAAAAUAAACUUGUGCAAGCA